GUGUUCAAGGCUGAGCUGUUUGGUCAGAUGAAGGAGACCACCAAGAGACGGGUCAAGAUCAAUGACAUGGAGCCAGCCAUCUUCGAGGCACUUCUUCCCUUCAUAUACACAGAUUCAUGGCCUAGUAACUGUGAUCUGGAUCAGAAUGCGGAAUUGCAGCACUUGUUGGUUGCCGCAGAUCGGUAUGGACUAGAGAGGCUAAAGAUCAUUUGUGAAGGGAAGCUAUGCCAGAAAAUCGAUGUGCAAACAGUUGCAACCACCCUUGCUUUAGCGGAGCAGCACGACGCCACGCAACUCAAGAAUGCUUGUCUCAGGUACCUUUCUUCACAGGAGGUGCUUCGAGCUGUCAAGGAGACUGAUGGAUUCAAGCAUCUCACAGCAAGCUGCCCAUGGAUUAUGAUGGACAUUUUAGAGAGGGUCGCGCCACCGUCAGGAGUAUGA
rnacentral:rRNA from 1 species